GUCCGCGUGGCCUAACGGAUAAUAAGGCGUCUGACUUCGAAUCAGAAGAUUGCAGGUUCGAAUCCUGUCGCGGACG